rnacentral:rRNA from 1 species
AGUGAACGCUGGCGGUAGGCCUAACACAUGCAAGUCGAACGGCAGCACAGGAGAGCUUGCUCUCUGGGUGGCGAGUGGCGGACGGGUGAGGAAUACAUCGGAAUCUACUCUGUCGUGGGGGAUAACGUAGGGAAACUUACGCUAAUACAGCAUACGAACUACGGGUGAAAGCAGGGGACCUUCGGGCCUUGCGCGAUUGAAUGAGCCGAUGUCGGAUUAGCUAGUUGGCGGGGUAAAGGCGCAACAAGGCGACGAUCCGUAGCUGGUCUGCGAGGAUGAUAAGCCACACUGGAGAUGAGGCACGGUCCAGACUCCUAGGGGAGGCAGCAGUGGGGAAUAUUGGACAAUGGGCGCAAGCCUGAUCCAGCCAUACCGCGUGGGUGAAGAAGGCCUUCGGGUUGUAAAGCCCUUUUGUUGGGAAAGAAAUCCAGCUGGCUAAUACCCGGUUGGGAUGACGGUACCCAAAGAAUAAGCACCGGCUAACUUCGUGCCAGCAGCCGCAGUAA